rnacentral:tRNA from 2 species
GGGCCUGUAGCUCAGUUGGUAGAGCACCGCGUUUACACCGCGGCUGUCGUCGGUUCGAGCCCGGCCGGGCCCA